GGAGGGUAUAGCUCAGUGGUAGAGCGCAUGCUUAGCAUGCACGAGGUCCUGGGUUCAAUCCCCAGUACCUCCU
rnacentral:tRNA from 1 species